rnacentral:misc_RNA from 1 species
AAAGAAAAGAAGCUAAGAUAAUAUUCAAUCAAAAAUUACAAGGGACUACCUUUUCUACAAACUAAAGCUGAAUUGAAUACAAAACAAUCAUACAAAUAUGACUAAUUUUGCACUACCCAGGAGACAAAAAUAAAUAAAAAUUAAAAUUUAUAAUCAUUCGAGACCAAGUAUGCCUGCAAUGCCAAGAGAUCAUACACUGGAAAACAGUGAUUCUACCAUUGUAGUUCAUUUUUUUUCUUUUUUUUGGACUAAAUCGAGCUCCAUGAAUUU